rnacentral:rRNA from 1 species
AACGUACGCUGGCGGCACGCCUUACACAUGCAAGUCGAACGAAGUAGCAAUACUUAGUGGCAGACGGGUGAGUAACAUGUAGGUAUCUGCCCUUUGGCCUGGAAUAACACGAGGAAACUUGUGCUAAUACCGGAUAAGUCUUUACGGAGAAAGCUUUAUGCACCAUUGGAUGAGCCUGCACUUGAUUAGUUUGUUGGUGGGGUAAUGGCCUACCAAGACUGUGAUCAAUAGCUGAUUUGAGAGGAUGAUCAGCCACAUUGGGACUGAGACACGGCCCAAACUCCUACGGGAGGCAGCAGUGGGGAAUCUUGCACAAUGGAGGAAACUCUGAUGCAGCGAUGCCGCGUGAGUGAAGAAGGCCUUUGGGUUGUAAAGCUCUUUCGUCGGGGAAGAAAAUGACUGUACCCGAAUAAGAAGGUCCGGCUAACUUCGUGCCAGCAGCCGCGGUAAUACGAAGGGACCUAGCGUAGUUCGGAAUUACUGGGCUUAAAGAGUUCGUAGGUGGUUGAAAUAGUUGGUGGUGAAAUCCCAGAGCUUAACUCUGGAACUGCCAUCAAAACUUUUCAGCUAGAGUAUGAUAGAGGAAAGCAGAAUUUCUAGUGUAGAGGUGAAAUUCGUAGAUAUUAGAAAGAAUACCAAUUGCGAAGGCAGCUUCUGGAUCAUUACUGACACUAAGAAACGAAA